rnacentral:miRNA from 1 species
UGCAUCUAGGGCAAAUAG